GAUGAACGCUAGCGGCAGGCUUAACACAUGCAAGUCGAGGGGUAACAGGGAAGAGCUUGCUUUUCUGCUGACGACCGGCGCACGGGUGCGUAACGCGUAUAGAACCUACCUUUUACAGGGGAAUAGCCCAGAGAAAUUUGGAUUAAUGCCCCAUAGUAUUAUUGAAUGGCAUCAUUUAAUAAUUAAACAUUUAUGGGUAAAAGAUGGCUAUGCGUUCUAUUAGCUAGAUGGUAAGGUAACGGCUUACCAUGGCAACGAUAGAUAGGGGUCCUGAGAGGGAGAUCCCCCACACUGGUACUGAGACACGGACCAGACUCCUACGGGAGGCAGCAGUGAGGAAUAUUGGACAAUGGAGGCAACUCUGAUCCAGCCAUGCCGCGUGCAGGAAGACGGUCCUAUGGAUUGUAAACUGCUUUUAUAUAGGAAGAAACCUUUCCACGUGUGGAAAGCUGACGGUACUAUAAGAAUAAGCACCGGCUAACUCCGUGCCAGCAGCCGCGGUAAUACGGAGGGUGCAAGCGUUAUCCGGAAUCAUUGGGUUUAAAGGGUCCGUAGGCGGACUAAUAAGUCAGGGGUGAAAUCCAACAGCUUAACUGUUGAACUGCCUUUGAUACUGUUAGUCUUGAGUUAUAUGGAAGUAGAUAGAAUAUGUAGUGUAGCGGUGAAAUGCUUAGAGAUUACAUAGAAUACCGAUUGCGAAGGCAGUCUAC
rnacentral:rRNA from 1 species